rnacentral:lncRNA from 1 species
AGGCGUCGAGCGGCAGGGCCUCGGCCCACCGCUUGGGGCUGAUGAACCCGCCCACCAGAAGGUUGAAGCCGAACUUGCCGUCCUUGACGGCCGGCAUGUAGGCGAGGUCGUUGAUGUGCGGGUGCUCGUACAGGUCGUGCGAGCCGAUCACGCACACGUUCCAUUUCCUCGGCCUGUUAGCACCAGGGCGUGUCACUGUCAGAUUUCUGACACUGUGGUGCCAAGGAACAAAGGGAAACAGAGAGAGGCACUACGCUACUGACAGGUUGGUGAUGGCGGGGUUCCCCUGGGAGUUGCUUGUGAUGUAGGAGGAGAGCAGGUUGGUGUAGGGGCGCGUGUCGACGAUCUCGUGGGGGUCGACGCCGGCGAGCGGGUUGCCGACGGGGUUGCGCACGUUGUCCAUGCCGCUCUGCAGGCUGGUGAGGCCGACGGCGCGGAGGCCGUCCAGGAUGGCCGGGACGUCCGGGAGCGUCACCCCGCGGAUCUGCCAGUUCUGCCGGGUCGUCACGUCCGCGCACCCGUCGGCGCCGUACGCCUCGAUCACGCUCGCCAGGUACCGCGUCUGCUCGCUCGUCGUCACGCCGUUGGGCAGCUUCAGCCGCAUCAUGAAGCGCCCGUCUGCAGCGCAGCAUAGCCAUGGUCCAUGGAGGAGCCGUUAGUUAGCAGCAAAUCACCAUUUCGUCUCACGGACUCGGGCUCAGAGUGAACUGAACCCAGUCCGAGAGGAGGUCUUUGUCCAAAAGAACGGAUGGUCCAAGAAAGAAAACGAAUCUGAAACCGCUGGUUCGGGAUAACAGAAAGUAAAGAUCGUUAUUUGUGACGCGGGUAUAUUCGUUAUCUACGGAAAGCUACUACUAUAACUGGUAUGCUUGGCAUUUGACUCUUGAGGUGUAUUUUAUUUAGUACUGACGGCGACUGGGAUGCUUUCUGCUAUUUAGUACCAACACCUUGAUGAAAUUUUCUAUUGCCUACUAAAAGUCCAAGGUGAGACUUCUUUUUUCUCAGUUAUGUAAGCUGCACACUACAGACUACAGAGCAGUCAUGUAAUAGUGCAUCAAGAACAGAGUCAUCUGAAAUCCAGUCGCAAAUGACUGCAUUUUACGAGCAGCAAGUAAUUCAGCAUUUCACGGGGGGACGGCGCAGAGGCAGGCAGUGGACGUACACUGGUGCUUGCGGCGGUGGAAGAGGCCGAGCCACUUGAGGCGGACGUCGACGUCGUCCUUGGUGAGCUUGGCGGCGUCGAUCACCUCCAUGGGGAUCUUGGCGAGGUCCCUGACGCCGCCGUCCAUGAACAGCGCCAUGGGCUCCUUCUCCA